GGCACGCAUUGCAGUGAACACUAAGCUCUGUAACUCCUGAAAUGGCUUCUGCACAACAUUGGGAAGGAAGACGCAGGCAAUGGAUUGUGGAUAAAAGAAUCAAGGCCCAUCAGGAUGAGCUUAUAAAAAGGAAACAGCCUAAAUCUUCAGAUCAACCAACAACAAGCAAAGCUCCUGACCGGGAAAUAUCAACUGAAGAUCAGACCCCUGGUUACAAACACAUUAGAAGAUACUCA